CCCCACCGGCCCCGCCCCGCCUGGCGCCCGUCAGGCUGGCCUGGCGUCGACGAUGCUGUUGCCGUGACAACGGCGCCGGCGUGCCAGAAGACGAAGGAGCACGACGUGAUGCAGCGGCAGCGCGUGGUCGACCUCUGGAAGGACGGCAAGUCGGAGGGCGCCAUCGGCCUGGAGCUCAGGAUGCCCAAGUCGACGGUGCACAGCAUCAUCGUCAAGUACCGCCUCAGCAACACCGUGGAGAACCUGCCGCGCAACGGGAGACCCAAGAAGCCCUGAGGGGGGGGGGUUGGACCGAUGGACGGUUGGGAGGAGGGUGGAUGGACGGAUGGAUGGAUGGAUAUUUGGGACAUAAGCAGGACCAAGAACAGUGAAACACCAUCACCCUCCUUUCAAAUAUCCUAAACGACUUUAUCGACGCCGCUGAGGUUCACCGGAAGAGAUCGGAGCGAAUGUUCUCCCAGUUCGGAAUCAGACACACCGUCCGACCGAGCGUCCGACCGGAGGCCGUGGGCCCCCGCCAGCGUGGCCAGCGCUCUGUGAACCACAACGCCCCCUGGGCUCAUGGGAAAUGUAGUUCUGAAGACGACAGACAUCACAAUUGUACUGCAGCAGAAGAGGGAGGAUGGAUCACCAGGGGAGGAAGACGCGCGGCGGACAACAGACCGCUGAAUGGCUCUGCGUUCUCGGUGAAGAAGGAGAGAGAGCAGCGCAGCACAGAGAUCAUCUGUAUCGACGACUGAAGCACACAAACCUACACAAACACACGUGAAACACACACACAUACAUACUAGUAUUAUACAGACACACACUAACACACACACACACUGUCACUAACAGGCACACACCGUCACUAACAGGCACACAGACACACAGACACACACACACACACACACACACUCACGCAAACAGACACAAGACCAUUAUGUGCAGACACACAUACAUUCAUGUACCCACGCACGAAUACACACGCACACACACACACUUAUGCAUUGAGAUACUGGUAUUACUAAUUUAACACACCUGAACACCCCCAGCAGCAUGUCAUGUUCCAUGACCUUUGACCUUUCCCUAUAUCUGCCUCAAACCAUUAUACUCCUCAUCCGUGAACUGCUGACCCAGAGACUACACACACACACACACACAUAUACAUACAUACAUACAUACAUACAUACAUACAUACAUACAUACAUACAUACAUACAUACAUACAUACAUACAUAAAGAAACACACACAUACACAAUCACAUAGACACACACACACACACCCUGACACACCUACACACGCAUACACACACACAUAGACACACACGCGUACACAAAUACACACACACAUACAAAUAGUUAGACGUAAAUGUACACAAAGACCCACAUAUGUAUUCAAAUCCUACCCGGACAACCACACGCACACAAAUGCACAAACGCAUGCACUUAUCUGUACACACACACACGCACACAGAUCCAGACACAUAUCCUCACACACACACACACACACACACACACGCAGAAAAGCAUGCUCUGGAUCACCCUAAGGCUGCGAGGUCGGGUUCUGAAAGGCGCUUCCCAUCGUGUUGGGUGUGCGCUCCGUUGACCGUCCGUUCUGUUUCCUGCUCAGCUCCCAGUUCACCGUGAAGCGCUCCCAGUUCUCAGCUCCCAGUUCACCGUGAAGCGCUCCCAGUUCUCCGCUCCCAGUUCACCGUGAAGCCCCGAUGCUCUUUGAGUUCCCCUUCAUAUUUGUUUUCAUGGUACGUGUUGAUGAAUACAACAGAACAUCCCACUAGCUCCUGUACAUAGUGAGCCCAGGACGAGUCUGGGUCCGCGAUGAGUUCAACGUUUGAACGCCCGCAACUCAGCGUUUGUUCCGGAACGAUCCGACAGUAUUUUCAGAGAUUUCAGAGAAUUUCCGAAAAGAUAAACUCUUAUACGAAUGUUUAACCUUUCAUAAUGCAAUGUCAGUGUUAUUAAGAAAAAAAAACUUGCUCGCUCUUUUCCCCUACUUCGCCUAAUUUCCGCGAUUAGCCGCUCUCCCACAAAAUAUAAUUUCCCAAAUUUCUAUUUCUAUUUAGAAAUUCCGCUGGGAUUCUUCUUUUCGUAUUUAAACUGCGUCGUUGUGUUCUCUUGUGUUCUUUCUUUCCAUGAUUCUUGUGUGCGUUUUCGUCGUUCGUGAUGUCAUUCUCGCUUUUAGCAUUUGAAACCGAGCUUCUACCAAAAGAGACUUUUUUAACGGACGACCCCACUAAGAGUUUUAGGGCCGGCCCUCGGUGCAGCACGGCACUCGUCUUCGCCGCAACGCUCUAUAUCCGCCGGAGAACGCUAACAAAGAAGUUUAGCUAACUUCAAAAAAAUAAAAGCUACUUUAGCCAUAGCCAUAAAUGUUCUGUGCUUUUUAGAUUUGGGGGUCUUGCAAGUAACAUAUUUAUACAACAUAUGAACAAAAAAGAUAAAUAAAUGUAAUCCUUUAUGCUGUUAAAACAGCUUCAAAAUGUAUGAUAUCCUAGUUUUUGUCGGACGAGGAAUGGCAGUGGAAUUGAACCCAUUUUAUAAACGCCUUAAAACACCAAGCGAAACAAUUGUACAUUUAUGAAACAGAAUGAAUAACCUGAUGUCAACCUGUAAAUGUUAGCAAAAACGUAACAUUCACUUUCACAAGUUAAGCUUCUAGAUAUUUCUACAUGGAGAUUGUUAGGAGUUAAUUUAUUCCCGGAAAUCGUGGACAUUUGUAUGCUAGUUGACAGCUCUUUCCGCUAACCCCCUUCGGCUAAAUGGGCUGUCUAACGGCGUGCGUGCAUCUUUCUCUACUUGACUCGUCGAUUUGUUUUGUCCGAUAUCUUCUUCCUGUUUUUUGGUUUUAUGUGGUCGUGCCGAUCAACUGACGAGUGGCAAUGAAACAAUGUCAAAUAUAAUAAUAUCAUGUCUACCUUCUUUCUUCUUGGUUCUUUUGUUUGUAAUAAAACUUAAUUAAAUUAAAAUUGCUGCGUGGAAUCUUUUUUACGUUUGAGUUCCACCGCUGCAAUAAUAAUAAUGUCAUAACAGAAGUGAGGGGGAGGAAGGUGUAUUGACUCAGGUGUGAUGAAGGCACGCCCGCCAGCGAGCCAACCCCCUGGGAGCGAGCGGGUUCAGCUCCAGUUGAAGCGCGAGCAGCACCUGUACAACCACCUCUGGUCUUUAUUUAUCGUCCUUUCCCUUGAAAAGGGUCUCGCUGAACACCGCGUCCUGCGUGAGUGAUGCUCUGUUCCUCGUUACAUUGAAAUAUGUC
ensembl:lncRNA